GUUGCUCAUAGCGUGACAUCAGAUAAUAUAAAAUAUUGUCACAAUAUAGUUCUGUCAAUGUCAUAAAAAUAUGAUAUUAUACUAUGCCACUAAAAAAAUCAAGAAAAACGUUUUCAAAUGAUUUGACAUGAAAAAAAAAGAAAAAUUAAAACUCUUAGGUCAAAAAGUGUGCAGAAAAAAAGUCAUGGUACAUUAGAUUGAAAAAUAUCAUGGGAAAAAAAAUAAAAAAAACAUUAGGUCAAAAAAGGCCAUGGAAAAAGCAUAAAUAAUUUAUGUAAAAAAAUAUAUUAGGUCAAACAAUCUUAUGGAAAGGAAAUUUUAAAUACAUCAGGUCAAACAUUUUUAUGGAAGAUGAAGUCAAAAUAUAUUAGGUCGAAAAAUGUAAUAGAAGAAAAAGCCUAAAUAUAUGAGGUUGAAAAUUGGAUAAAAGUCCAGAUACAUACAAGAUAAAAGUAUGACAAACCAUGCUAUGAUUUCUAUGACUUUUUCAUGAUGAUAUUCAUUACAUUUCGAAGAUAUUGCUAUGGCAUUAUUUCAAAGAUUUAUCAUAUAUUAUGACAUGUUUCAUGAGCUGCUAUUUUAUGAGAUUUUCACAAAAAUAUUAUUGCAUGCUUUACUAUGACUUUUUAUGAGUUUUUUUAUGACACACUAUAUCAUGACAUUACAUUGCAUACUAAUCAUCCCGAAGCCACAAUCAAAGUAUCUGGAUCCUUUUGUUUUUCUUUAUCGGUUUAUUCCUCAUUCCCAUUUCGUCCAGCAUCCGCUGCUUGUCUUACAUCUCCAGUCGCCUGUGUGGCUUUUUGGCUGCUUCCCCACUAUUUUCUUGAGGAUGGAGACACAAAAGAUAACAAAUGAGCUCCUGAAAUGGGUUGUAAUUACAGCUUCUGGAACUAUUAAGUUCUGGACAUCAGAGAUAAUGGUAUUCUUGGGAAGCGUAAAUCACACCUAAUGGUGUCCGAAUGACCAUGUCUAUUACAAACCAUAACCAAUCAUUUCCUAGUUCAUAAGAAAGCUUAAGAGAGCCCUGAAUAUAAGAUAUUUCAUAUGCUCUCAAUAUUCAACAACAUUAAACACAACACAGCUGGUAAUGACAAAAAUAUACCUCCUUUAAAGCUUCAGCACCAAGAAGAUGUCUUCUCUGCUGGUCUGUAUAAUGGCCCUCUUCUGGACAUCGAUCCAGGUCGCAUAUCUAAAAGUGUGACAAGAAAAGCAGCUUUUCUAGCAUGCAAAAUAACAGUUACGUAAAAAUCAUUCCAAGACAAUGCAGUUUAAUGAAACGUAUUUUAUGAGUUCACUUCCUGCUUCUGAUACUGACAUGCAGAUACACUAUAAGUAUAAGUAAAACAUCUGAACAGUUCUCCUUGGUAACAUCUUAGUACUGUGCUUCAUACAAGUCCUUGUUCAAGGCUGUGAAAAUACCCCCGGAUGGAUGAAAUGGUUUCACUCCAGAUAGUAGCUUUCGUAGACAUUCAUGACCACGCUUGUGCGGACACACAAACGCACACCCACACACACACAUGCACGUACGCACACUGACAGCCUGAAAGAUGGGUGAGCUUGAAAGGAGGCUUGGGACUGGGGGGAGGGACGAAAGGAAAAGGAGAUUGGAGCAGAAGGCGACCGGUGAGCUACUGAGAUAUAAACAGGUGAAUGAUUUUCUGUUCCCUUCCAGAUUGUUUCCUCAUCUCUCAACCAGACCCGGCCCUCAGAGAGAUGAGCUGGGCCGCCAGUCCCUUCCUAAAGCGACGCUGGUAAACUAUGUGGCACAGACGUUUUGCUCAACCACUGUCGCUUCUUCUCCGUGCGCCACUGGCCAAGCUGGUAACAUGCACAGGCCUCUGAAUCGCAUUAGCUGUGGGGUUGUUGUUAACUGAUACAAGCAGAAGCCCUUCUUCAAGUAGUGCAACCUUUGUGUGCACGGAUCCCUCAGGCAGACAUGCACAUGAUUUGGACUGCAAGCGAAAACAUGAGUGUCCCGGAGGAACAAACACUCUGACCUUUACAAAGAUUCAUUUUUUUCCCCCCUCAAAGCGAUUUUGUAUCUUCUCCAUUUUCCAUUUCAUUUGGCAGGCUGAAAAGUAAUAAAUAAAGGGGGAUUUGAAGAGACAUCCAAGAGUGUUUUUUUUUCUCCAUUUGUUUAGUAGAUCGAAUCAGAGUUACUCCAUGGACAACAAUGCAGCCACUGCAUAGAGACCACGACACGUUUCUGAUAGAGGGAGUGUACAAUAUCAUGACGUAAAUAUUUUGUGUGAGAUGACAAAUUUAAAGUCAAAUAUUUGAAUAAAAGUUUGCUAAUGCAACUGCUCACACUUUCACACUCUUCCCAAUAUGCGUGAGCUCGUGCUUGCUUGCAUAUGGUAAGCAAAUCCUUUAAACCUGGAGGUGUCUAAUCUUUUAUGUGUUUUACAAUUAGAACUCCCCCUCCGGGAUUACAUCUGCUUAGAGGAAAAAAAGUUGUUUGUUUCCAGGUAAAAUUAGAAACUACCAAAUACAAGAUGUUUAAACAGGGAUUUGUGUAGCGAGUGAGGCUCUAUUCUGUCCCGUCUACAGUAAAAAGACCAAGUGAACCAACAGGCCAAGACAACAGCCAGCCUUUCACACGGAGCGGCAUUGACACCUCUCUGGGCCCGUCUCCAAGCUGCCAGUCCCAACUAGCCAGUCGCCUCCCCUCCAUCCAUAUCAUUGACUCGCCACUGACUUCAGCGCACUUUUGCCAAGCCCCUCUGAAAUGACGCAUUGUGCCUGGGGAGUUAUCAGAGAGGACAAUAUUCUCCUGAAACAGUCCUAAAGUGGACUUCAGAGAAAGGACCUGCCUGCUUUACUUUCUCUCUGCGGUUGCUAGGCUAGUUCCCCACACAGGAUCACUGGGGCCUUUAUGGGCGGCUGGCACCGACCCAGCCCCCCCCCCCCUUUGCCUCGGACUGUGAGUAGAAGAGAGAGUGGGCGCCGGAGGGAAAAGCCCUCCUCUCACUCAGGGUGGCGUGCUAGGACUUCCAAUGUUCCCGUGCCCACCUUCACUCCCACUGGCAUUCCCACAAGUGUGUCUGAUGGCUGGUUCCUGCGGCCCCGCUCCCGGGCUCUGACCUCAAUCCGUCUCGUUAAACCGUAAUUGGAAAUGAGCCGGCCGUUUACCUCGCCGGAUAUAUAUCUGUGAACCCGCCCUCCUCUGGGAAAUCGGCACCUGCGUGCUCCCUUUAUGAAUCAAACGCUGGGAUUUCUCACCUACCGCUAAACUCAUCUAGGCAGAUCUGAGGUUUUCACCGUCGCCGAGGUAUAUUUCAGAGAGCUCGCCCCAAGGCGCUACUUUACGGCUCAGGAGACAGAGGGGCGAAAUGACACUCGCUCCCACACUUUAUUCUUUGAGAUGAUGUAUUAGGGUGGGAUGCCAUACUCUGCACUGCAGCGGUUCGCCAUCAUUAUUCAUCGGUAUGAAUGAUUUGUAAUCAAUGCUUGCUGGUUUGCUGUUCAUUUUGGGAUAGGAGUCAUACUUCUGCUCAAUAUCUGGCUGUGCUGCAUUUCACACGAGGGAGUUUCCCGUUGCCAGAACAAAGGGGGAUUCUGGUUACCCUGAAGGCAACACUGGUACCAAAAGGUACAGCAGUAUCAGACUUCUGAAUGUGAAUGCUCGCGGGGUAAUCUGUGCUCAAGUGGCUCUGCCUCACCCAGAGCCCACAUUAGCAUGAAUGCAAUAAGCUCUCAAUGUCCCCAAGUCUCCUCUAUAGCAGAGACAAAGACACAUGUAGGAACAAACAAGGCGCUACGGUACAUACAGUACACAAAUACACACCAACGCACCACACUCUCUGACGCUGUCUUUCCCAUCCCUUUCAGUCUAAUCCAACCUGCAGACACGCCGCCUCCACCAGAUCGAUGGCAGUGUCCUUGGAAAUGAAACCUCAAGGUCGGCUUUCCCUAUGUUCCCCUAUACCUCUACCUGAGUCAUGGUGUCUGUUUGUAACAACUUCUUGGAGUCAACACAAUAAUCUAUCGGUUAACAAAAUGCAGAAAAAUAAUAUUAAAAGCAGAAAUAUAAAACAAUGACUCUUUCAUCUUGACUCUGAAUAUCAAAGAAGACACAGCUUUCUAUCAGGUUGAAGCACGCUGAGAUGAAUCUCAUACUUGAAUAAUAAUAAUCACAUUUUCUAAAUAUACAGCCGUGUUUAUCCCCAUGGCUGAGUCAAAUACAUAUUUAUAUGCGCAUUCCCGUACAUUCAUCCACAGUGUAAAAUGAAUAUAUAUCUAAUCCAUAUUUUGCCUCUAUUGUUUUCUAGGCAAUACAGAAUGCUACUCAGCCCUGAAAAUAAGCCACAGUGUGAGCAUUAUCAAACAGGUUGAGUCAAAUAAAGCUACGAUUGGUGUGUGAAAUUAAAUUCAUGUUUGAUCCCUCAGCACCUUUACCGUCUCAGAGAAUAUAACAUAUCUCAGUCCAUGUUUUUGGCAGUGGGGGAUACUUUGUGUGGGUAUGAGGUGGUUGCAUAUAAAAGGGACUUUUAUCAUAUUUCAGAUCUGUUACAAUCCUUUGCUAUCUGAGCAAGCAAGCUGCAAUCUACCAACACUGGGUCACUACACCAACUAAUAACAUUAAAUAUUAAAAUGUGUCCGGUUAGUAAAUUGAUCAAAAUGUAAUGGACAAUUUAACUUUCAUCAGAACGCAAAUGAAUGAUUGCAAACCGUGAUUAAUGACCACAACAAAGUCCUUCCUUAUUCCAGAAACAAGAGCUUCUUAGCCCUUCUCAAGCCAGUGGCUGACCUAUUUAAGUCUCAUAAUGAUGAUGAACUUGCCAUGCUAAUGACCAUUUCCCUAUUGCAUUAGGAAGUACUUCCUCUCACUGUGGCACAAUGGCGUUGGGUAACUGCAUAAGCCAGCAGCAGUAGUCUGACACAGAAUCAUCCGCCCACACAGCCCGGCAGGACGGAGCAAGAGGGCCACAACAAAUGACUCACUCAGGAUCAUUUUAAAUGUAAUGAACUCGCUGUAUAUUCCGGUCUGCAAACUAGGUUCCCGAUUCAACGUGAAAACAAAGACUAGAAAUAGAUUGCGAAGAUAGGAGGAUGGUAGAUAUCUCUUGGGCUGAUUAUUGUCUCCAUUUCCUUAUUCUAUGUAUGCAAACUCCAAAAACUGCCAUCAUUAAGACAGUAAAUGAGUUUUACAUCAUCUAUGUGCCGGAUUAGAGAUUUUUUGUUUAUUAACCAUUUCUAAUUAUGUGCAAGGUGUGUAAGGUAAUCUCCCCUGUCCCGCAUCCAUUAAACCUUGCAUUUUAACCCUGUGAGAUGUGAGCAAUCACUGUGUGAAUGAACAAUAAAUCCCGUUUCAGUGUUGGUGCUGUCUGUGAUUCUUGGGUUGUUUCUGAUCCACCCGUGAGACACUGUCACCGUCGAUCAGUUACUGGUCUCUCGGUUUCUCUGCCAUAUUGACAGCUGCUCUGAAGUCUCUGCUCAUCCUGAGUCCUUCAACGGAGCGGAGCGUCACAGACGUGGACAGUCCCACAACAUGGUUCUAAAGUGACGCAGACUGUCAGAGCUAGUGGAGCAGACGAGAGGAGCCGGAAACGGAUUAGUCCAUUUUGAUCUGCUUAGCUGCUACUCAGGGGAAUACAGGCAGGCCCACAUGAGUAGAUGAAGCAUACCGGAAUACUAAGGAAGGCUUGAAGGAAUUGGCUGACGCAUUGUAGAUACAAGAAAUAGACAAGCAAAGAAAACUAAGAAAGGGGAUGAGUAUGACAGACGGCAGAAACAAGUGACAUCGUGAUGAGCCCAGCCCAGUUUUGAGUAGAAGCUUGAGAUAGGGGAAGGUCACAAGUCUAAAAAGAGAUGGUGAACCUGCUUUUAACUGAGGUACCGGCUCGUAACUGAGGUACCUGCUCGUAAUUGAGGUACCUGCUCGUAAUUGAGGUACCUGCUCGUAAUUGAGGUACCUGCUCGUAAUAGAGGUACCUGCUCGUAAUAGAGGUACCUGCUUUUAACUGAGAGACCUGCUUUUAACUGAGGUACCUGCUCGUAACUGAGGUACCUGCUCGUAACUGAGGUACCGGCUUGUAACUGAGGUACCUGCUUGUAACUGAGGUACCGGCUCGUAACUGAGGUACCGGCUUGUAACUGAGGUACCUGCUCGUAACCGAUGUAACUGCGGUACCUGUUUUUAACUGGGGUACCUGCUUGUAACUGAGGUACCGGCUCGUAACUGAGGUACCGGCUUGUAACUGGGGUACCUGCUUGUAACUGGGGUACCUGCUUGUAACCGAGGUACCUGGUGAAACAUUUGUUAGGUCUAGUGAUUGCCUUGGUGGAUAAAGGGUAAUUCCGUAGCCAAACCUUUCAUCCACAGACUCAACCAAGCGUUUUUAUUAACAUGCACCCAUACAAGCAAGAAGGAAAGCAGAAACUCAGGUUCCCUCUUUUCUUCCUUUAUACUAACCAUUACUUAUCCAUUCAAUCCCAAAUGUUCACUCAGUCUCAGCCCGGACCACUGGGACGGUACUGCAACGCAUCUCCCUGACAGGAGCCAUCUGCCUGCUUCUCCCUUCCUGUCAUUAGUCCAUCUAUGAGAUGUUACCAACACAUAUCAUUGGCUGCAAUCUGUCUGUCUGCCUUUGCCGCCAAGCAAACAUCUGAACAGCUGAACUCUCUGAUGGGUGGAGGGCUGGAUAUUUUUUCUGCCCGUCUGCCUACUCAGCAACAACUCCCCCUCCUUCUCUUUAUUCCGUCCCCAGUUUCAAUUUUUUUUUUCUUCUUUCCUUUGUUUCAUCUGCAGAGUCGUAAUCUCUGAUCUUUUUUUUUGUCUCUGUCUUCUCUUGUUUCUAUUUCCUUGUUCUCGCUCCACCCCCCCUCUUGGACCUCCUCCUUUCUAUUUGCUCAUUUAUUAGCCUGUUCCUGUGAGGGAGUGAGCGAUGUGCGUGUCGCCCGUGGUGGCAGAGGGAGCAGCAGAGCUUGACGUGAACAUACGCUGUGAGAGCUCCCAUUUAUAACUUAGAACUCCAAAUGAACAAAACGCCAAAUGCAACAUGGAUGCAAUUACCUUCCGGAACUCAUUUUCAAAAGGAUGAACUAAAGUACUUGCUCUCACAAUGUGGAAAAGUCAGAAUGGAUGCUAAUGGCCCAUUGGCAAAAGAAAAUGAUAGGAAAUUGAACUUUCACGUUAAAGAGGUUAGUACUUGGACUGUGCAACAUGUUCUGCUCUCUGGCUCCAGCUCUGGCAACGUGAUGCUGAAGGAGGCACAGCCAGUUUUGCCAUCUGCAUCUCUAACCUCACGGUUCAUGUCAGCAGGCAUGUUUGCACCCCGCUCCCUUGCUCCACCAUCAUUUCUUUGUUACCUCCUCUUGCUUGGUCACAUGUGAAAAACUACUCCUGGUAAGGUGGGUUUAUAAAAUUGUUUUGAAAACCUUUUUCUUCACACAUGGUUUCUAAAGGUCUCUUAUAUUAACUUUACCUUCCCGUUGGCAGUGGGUUAUACGGAAGGGAAUCUCACGUUAACAAAUUUAGAAAAGCAGUUGGUAGAGAUUCAAAUAUAAAUCUUUCUGACUGUUUGUCUGUUUGUGAUUUCUUUGUAUGAGAACUGUUUGUCAGAUCUACUUCCCACUUGGUUGGUCUAUAGCUUUGGUAGUGCCAUUUGGGCAGAUGGGGGCGCUAUAUCAACCUUCUUUAAGUAAAUAAAGAAAAAUAGCAAUAUUACAACCAUGGCCACUGCACUAGUGCGUAAGCUUGCGAACGUGUGGCUAGAAAAGGGGACAGAGUCCAAUUAAUCCGCAAGCUUUAGUGAUCAACUCGCCAUUUGUCAGCUGUGCCUCCAUCCACCUCCCCCCAAAAUGUAAAUGGUAAGGAGGUGUCAGCAGGUUAAUUAGCAGGAAGACUAUGGUCUGGGGCUUGGAGACGGCGGAGACAAACAGGAGGCGCUCCCUCUCCUUGGCCCCUUCCUCACUGACAGAUGCUGCUACCGCCGAUGCCGCGACCCCACUCAGCACACUUCUGGAAGGAAAAAAAAAACCAAACAGACAUUUGGAGGGACAGGAAGGCAGUGAAUAGAUGACUAGGGAGAUUUUAUCUGCUCCUGAAAAGGAAUUUGUCUCGCUGUUGUUUAUGCCCAUAAAGCUCCUCAGUGGUGGAGUGGUGGUCUACGGGGCUACUUGUUUGGUGAGGUACUUUAGUGAGAGUUAGAAAGCCCCCCCACCCACCUCCUUCCCGGGGACCUUCCAUUCUGACUGACAGAUCUCAAGGUCAUUCAGCCAAGAACAACACAACCUGACUGGAGACAAUAGAAUAUUAAGUGGCAUGAGUGACGCGUGAUGGCUGUAAUUUAGUUAUAUUUAAAGUGACAGUGAGCUAUUGUGGAAAAAUCAAACCUAAGACAAAAAGGUACAGAUCAAAUGGUGUCUUUAAGCUGUGCAGUGUAGCGUGGCUUGACCACAACGGUGGUCUAUUGUGGGAGGUAUGCGGCAGGCGGGUGGAGGUACAGCCCUUUGAUAGAGUGGCUUCAUUACCUGAAGUGAAGGGCAAUCUGGCAUCAUGUAGAAAGAGAAAGAAGUAAAGAAAUAAAUGAAAAGAGGGAGAAGGGUACAUUAGUAUGGAGGGACUUCCUAUUGAAUACGAGUUUAAAACAAGCCCACUACCCUGAAGAUACAACAAGCCAUCUUUGAUGUCUUUAUUGUAAACUGCAAAUAAAGUAAAUCAUUGAGACAAAGGCUCCCUUGGAAGAUAACGGGUCUAGAAAGUCCUUAAAAAUGCUUUAUCUUUUGUGGGGGGCGGGGUCGGCGGUGGGGGGGGCCCCCUCACAAACAUGUCAGACUACACUUAUUCUACCACGACAGGUCAACUUUUUAUCUUUUCAUUGAUCUCUCUGUCUCGAGCUUCCAAUCCGGUAAACAAGAUGCUACAGGCAUUACCCUCCACGAGUGUAGCGGUUCUGGUUACAUUAUCAUGGGCACACACACACACAUAUGGAGUGGAAAAAGUAAAGCUAUACCUCCAUGGAUAAAGCUUUGUCGGUGGAGUAAUGGGCUUUCCUCAUGGCAAGGGACCAUAAUAUCCUCUAAAGGGGUUUAAGCUGCAGACUGGGGAAUGAGGAAUAUGGUGCGGCGUGGGGGAUGUGAAAUGCAGAGACAGACUGUGAAGCACCCAGGGACUGGAUUCGGUUUAGCAUCUAUGAUAAAUUGAUGUCUUUGUCUUCAUUUUCUCCUCGUUGCUGUUAUUCUCCUUCCCUGCUCCCUCUGUCCUUGCCUGUGAGAAGGCAGCCCGCUUGGCGUACUCAGCGCCGAGUAAUGAGCUUGUCUGUCAUUGCUGCUCGGCCACCGGCCACAGUUCAUUCCACUGGACGGACAGUGGGACAUGGGGGGGGUGGGGUGGUGAGCAGAAAACUAAUGGGGAUAAUCAAUGCUACUAUAUCUGAUGACUUCAUCCUCUCCCCCUGUUUGCUUUGAUUUAACGGUUCAUAGUUCCUGAGGUAAAUAAAGUGGGUGAGACAGUGAAUCAAUAGGACUGUAAAGCAUGUUGAAGAAAGCGCUGUGGUCAGUUGAAGGGAACACUGGGGAUCAGUGCGGACUGAAGGACACAAGGGCAGGCAGCCGUGAGAGAGCGAUACGCGAAAGCGUUCUCAUCUGAGCCGACCUCACGCUCGGGUGAACGGCCCCAGCGUAGAAUUACUUCUCAAUCUGAAUCAGCGCACGGGCCACUUUUCAGGUCCUCUUUCUACCCGCUCGCUUUUGUGGCUGCAAUAUUUCUCAUUAUCGCCGAACAAAAAUGCAACUCAUCUGCGAUCUCAUGAGCUACACCGUCCAAAUGAAAAGUGGCUGGAAUAGACCAAAGUGCAUUUAGAGUCACAAUCACGACUACACAUCCCCUCUUAAUUUGCGGCAACAAAGAAGAAAAACAUGAAUCAAUGGAUCAGAACAAAAGGAGUCAGCGGAGACAAUAUGUGAUCAUAAUCUUUUCUGUUGGGCUUUUUAGAGCGCGCUGUGUGUGAGGCCGGAUGCUCCUAACAAGGCAUGGCAUUUAGAAAGAAUAAUAGGAACCUAGUGUGUUCUCCUCGUGGGCUGGUGCGGCACAAUUCCAUUAGCCGUCCUCCUCCAGCUGAGAACUCUCUGUCUGUCAUUCAUCACCAGCUGCAGCACAACGCGGUAACAACGGCGAUGGAAAUCAAGCCUCCUCCGUGUGUCUCUCCGACUCUCUGAGCCUCCCAAACUUUCUCCAUCAUAAUCAACCUCUAAUUCCUGCAGUAUUCCAUUCCAUGAGCGAAUAACGGAUGGUAAAUAACGUCCUUUCAUGACAAGCUGCUUCCUCUUGGUUCUACAAUUUACAAAGAGGAAGGGCUGAAUGGCAACACCGGUGGCAGCGCCUCCACUUCAAUCCACUGAAACUGUCACAACUUUUGCCGCGAAAGUUAUCAUUUCAAAUGGCUAUUCUAGGAGAGAGCGACCUUCACACAGGAUCUCUCUCUCUGUGAGGGCAGUGUGUAAAGCACCUUUUCCCCUCUGCGCCACGCCGAGCUGCUUUGUGUCUCCAUGAAAAAGAACACGCAACAGAGUGUAACUCAGUGAUGGAGUUUCCACACGCAGAGCUUCUGUAAAAUACUCUUUGAACACUUGCAGCUGCUCCUCUCUCUCUCUCCGUCUCUCUCUCCCCGUCUCGCUCUUUUGCUGUGUGUGUUUCUUAUUAUUUCCUUCUCGCUCUGUGACUCUCACCUUAUUUUUCUAUCUAGGAAUUCCUCUCUUUCCCAUUUGCUCCUCCUGCCUUUCCUGGGUCUCCGUUUGCCGUUUGAGUGACAGAUUUGGUUUGGGGUUCUGACGCUGAAAGCGCCGGUUCUAUUUCACGGGUUUCACUCUGAUCCAGUUGGGGUCGUGACUCUGACAGCCGGAGUGUGAUCUGAUCCUGGUCUCCACCAUGGUUACGUUCUGUCUGCGCGCCUGGAGGUCACGUAUUCCAGCGUUGCUCCCAGCAGAUGUCAAACACAAAGACAGGUUCUGCAGACGCACAGCGGACAGCCAACUUAAUAAAAGUCACUGUGGGGAAAAAGAGCGUCACAAACGCACACAUGUGUACACGUUCUUAAUCGCCAAGUUGAAAGAAAUCGACAAUAUUCUCCGGCCGCCGUGCGCUUGUUAAGUGUAAAAAAAUGUGUGUGCGUGCACGAGAAUAUACCUCACCGGCUCUCUUGUGGGCCACUGGAUGGCCAUAAACACAAGGACACGUUAAAUAACAGUCUCAAUGUGAGGGGGGGGGGAGCCUGGUCCCAGAGAGGCCGUGCGUCCAUGUGCGUGCAAUGGGGAGGAGAGCCUUUGGGGGGCCGGGGGGGCAGAGCGGCCCCUGGCAGCUCGGAGGGAGAGACGGUCCAAACGGUCCUUUUGGCCCAUUGUUAGGCGGGAUAAUCCAAAAUCUGGCAACCAGCAGCAGCGCCGUGUGGUCCUGUCAAAACACAGAGGAAGAAGAUGGAGCGAAGACCGGAGUAGAGUAUCCUGGCUACGGCGGAUGCCUGAGAAACAUCACAACUGCAGGACAUAAGACUGUGUGGCGGAUAACUGGAAAAUGAACCGCUGAAUGUUUUUUAUAUAUCAGUGAGAACUACAUGCUCAUAUUUAUGCGUAUUCAUAUAUACAAAGAUGUUUGUGUAGGCGUUUGCAAGGAUGGUUUCAAAGAAAAAUGUGCAUUUUAGUUUGUGUGUGUGUGCGCAGGGUGGAAUUCCGGUAAAUAAAGAUUGCCGGGUGAAAUUGCUCCGACAAGCACCGACUGAAUCCGCCUCUAAGUGAGUGCGAAGGACAGUGCGAUAUGCAGCGAGAGAGACGAGAUUGUACCACAUUUCCGCAACCUCGGGGAAUGUCCACUGCUCCAGCUCGUGAACACAACAAGGAAAAAAAAAACAACAACGCGUGACCUACAUGCAUAACAACCCUAAAUCCUCCCAUUCAAGUGGCUGAUGUGAGCUGACAGUGCUGGAAUAGGUGGCAGGAAAACCAGAAGGGACGAUAACUCUUCAACCCAUGUCAGGUCACGUGUUACUUCCUCCACGUGUCACAGGGAAACAGGGAAGAGGUGAGUCACCAGAGCUGGCGGUUGAUGCAUAGCGUGUCCUAAAGUGUGCCCCCCUUGUACCCCUGUGUUUGUGCGUGCUUGUGCUCAAGCCAGCCGCAGAGUGUCUCUGAUGGCUUUCAGACGCAUAUGUUUGUUCUCCACUAGGCUCAAUAUAAAUGAUCCAGCCAAGCGGCGCUCUCAUCGCUCACGGGCUGAGCUCCUGUACCAUUACUCAGCCCCGAUCGUCCGGAUCACCUCGCCACUCCCAGCGAGAGACGGCAGGGGGACAAAUGAGCGGAGAUAAACAACCAAACAGCCAAAUUUAAAGUGGAGCGACGAGAGCGGGAGGAGCGGGGAAAGGGGGAGGAGCGAAGAUACGACGAAUGGGGGAGAUGAGAGAGCGAUGGAAUGUAAAUCAUUUACCUGGAGAACCGUACUGUUUAUUCUCCCGUUUGUCUCGGGAGAAAAUAACUAAUUGAUCUGUCCAUUGUGUGAUUACCUCUCAUCACGGCUUGAUUGACUGGCUGUCACAUGCACUCACUCUCUCCGAGUGCUCCAACGCCCAGUGCAUCCGUCACUAUCACACCGCACGCGGCGUGUACGGGCGCGUGCGCCCAAACGCAGCGGCCCUGACAGGCACCUAUCACACCGCAGCUUCACUACGCUCCCCCCUGGGGACGCCGGGAGGGGAGGCAGAUAUAGAAGUGGGGGGGGUUUGACAAAUGACGACGCCAUUGUUUGGAUGGGAAAUGUCAAGACUGGGAGCGUCCCGGGCCUGCCGACACAUUGUGGGGUACGGGAUGUAAGGGAUGUCACGGCGGAGGAGGAAGGGGAGGGGGGGUGUUCCAGAGACAAACGCCGGGACGUGGCGGAUACACUUGAAGGCCGGUCAUCGAGCGUUCAUGACUGACAUUGCUCCUUUGUGAAGGCCCUCAGUCCAGGUUGCUGAUAUCUGACCUUGAACCAACAGUAGUUGGACAAGUUUCCUCGACUAUGAAAGGACAAAGGAACACGUCUUGCUUCGUGAGCGCCGCAUUAGGCAGUCGGCACAGCUCCGGCUGAGAAAUGGGUUUGACCCCGGCGGCGGUCUGAGGUGAGCCUCCGUGCGCCGGGGUCAGCUGAGCCGAGGUUGUGUGCUGACGGAGGCGGUCAGACUAGCCUGAGAAAAGAGCCAAAUGGAAGAAAGGAAUAAGGGAGGGGGAAAAAAAUCCUCCUAUAACAGCUGAAUGUGGGGGGGGGUCAAGAGGCGUAUUUCAUAACCCUCUGUGGACGCUCAGGGAAUUAGAAAUUUUCGCCACCAGAAUCAAAAUGUGUAUUACUCCUCUAUCUUUAUAGCAUCAAUCACCUGUAUUUAUUUUUUAUAUAAAUGCACAUUGAGAUAUAUGUUAUUAUGGAUGCAGAAAACAGCUGAUAGUCAGUAUGUCAUUUACGCUCGAUGACUGUUGACAUUGGGAACGCGAGCCUCUCGUUUCUGACGUAUCGCAUGGUGAGUGCUCCAGUGUUCAUGGAGGCAGAAUGAGUCCAGCCGCCUGUCGGGGUAACUGCAGGGUCAGAGGUCACGUUGCGAUACGGAUGGCGGAAGGAGAGCCGCUCCGGGCAGCAGUCUCAUGGCUCGCAACUCUUUGUGGGCGAAGGACGGGGCACGCCGACUGACUUGUUUUCUUAUUAGUUGCCCCCCCCGCUGCCUACGUGACUGUUAUCGUCCCGGCUUUUUCAGUCUGGAUGGGGCCCCAGUGGAUAGAGGGGAUGCAAAUCAUCCAACCGCGUGUACACGGAGGCCGACCCCUUGAGGAGAGGCAGAAGAUGCAAACCGAAACUGACCCGAUCUGAGGGGUCAAUUCUUACUCGUCAUAAUCUGCUUUCGCAUCCCAGAAGUUCCAACCGUUGACGUUUCCCUGUAGUUGCUGCAGUGUAAAAUCAACAUGUUACUCUUGUGUGAAAUACUGGUAUUUAUAGUGAAUGGAAAUAAAACCCAUUUCGACAAUAGCUACAAAGCUAUUGACUCUUUGUGUCCUGAUUGACAUGGAAACCUGUCUGCAUUCCUCUCCCAGGAAAUAACUAAACAAAAGCAAAGAAAAGGGUUCAGUUUAAGAGACUCCGCAUACAGCGCACACAUCUGGCAUCUGUUUCCUUUUGCAACUUUGCCAAAACUUUUUCAAGGAUAGUGAGGAGACUGGGACUGAUGUGUUCGAGCUCCAUUGGACUUCUGCAACAGGAAGGAAGAGGGAAACAGAUAAAGGAUGUGAACGCGCAGACACACAAAGCUGUUCAAUGGCAAUUACCGCGCCGUGCCUGGCACAGCUGACAGCGUGAGGGGAGCUCGCCCAACGUGUUUUAUUCUUGCAAAACAAAAGACAAAAGACACGAGCAACAUGUACAAGACCCCAACUGCCAAAGCAGCCCACAAACUGUAGCCUAUUGAUGGAAACAAGCCCGAGCUGAUGACCCCGUACAUGGACGCUAUGACCUCUCAUUAACCCCCGACAUUUUCCCAGGAAGGGUUGACAGCGAGUCAAAUAGAGACAUUAACAUUCCUUCUUGCUCGUCUCCCAAAGUCAAAUCUUUCAUCCCUACCUCGAUCAAGCCAGCAACGCGACACGCCGUCCUCUUGGACAACAACCUGGCAUUCCUUUCACUUCAACGCCAUUCCAGUCCCCCGAAGCGCUUCUUCGCAUCUCCACCAGCAGCUGGCAAACGGUGAACUGUGAGUCCCCUCGCUGCUUGUCUUUGCCCCCCGUCCAAAACACCCCACCGUCACAACCACCACCUCCGCCGCUUUUGUCACGGUGUCCCGCCACACCGGGAUUGCAGGAAGCGACGAGGGGAUCGGGGGGGAGCCGCGGUGUGGGCUGUGUCUCUCCGACGCCGCUACUAAUGAGCUGUAAUCUGGAGCAGCAGGAGGCGAUGCCUCCUCAAAGAAAUUGCCGUUGCUCGGUACAUUUGUUCUCUAAUGGCGGAGGCGGCGGCAGAGCAUAGGUGCUCAUUGCGGAGAACAAAGGGGAGCAGAGGGAGAAGGUGUUAGAAACAACUUUCGUGGGAGAUCAGGAGCUUCCUGUGAUGUGCAUCCGUGAGACUCAAAGCAGGAUGGCGGAAGUUGUAAAAAAAAAGUUCAAAAGUGGCUUCUCUAUUUGUCAAACGGGUGGGUCCAGGGAGCAAUGGGUGGGCCAUUGUUUCUCUUUUCCUGUGCGCAUUUUCCGACAAACUAGCUCUUGUUUCAUAAAAAGAUUCACCUACUCUGUCGGACUUCAGCCCAGCAGACCCCUCGCCGUCCCACCCCCCCACCAUGUGUGUCCUUGUGUUUCAUCACCCACAGGGGGUCGGUCUCCGACUUUUGCCAUCCGGCUCGGAUCUUAUCACAGAGGGAAACAAUGGAAAUGGGAAACAAAGCUGAGAGGUUUGCAAUUCAUUUAAAAAUAAAAAUACUUCUAUAUUAACCAUGUUAUUUAUCCACAGCCAUUAAAACAUCACACCACCUGUUUUAGAAACAAAAGGUCUGCCGAGAAGGAACGCUUUCAUUUCCAUUCAAACCUACCUCGGUGUCACAGGGGUACCAAAGAAAAAAUGCUUCGAAGGAGAAAGAUGAAACGAGGAGAAGGCAAAGAGGGAGGCUGAGCUGUAUCUUCCACCUCAGGGUAGCCUGCUAAAAGCUAUCUGUUCCCCUGGUGACCGAGCACAGCACACUUUCUGAGGUUGGAGAACUGAAGCUUAAGCUUGUGCACACACACACACACACACACACACACACACACACACACAUAUACACACAUAUACACACUGCUCCCUUGCCCUCAUCCGUCUUUUCACCAUCCAUUUUUCCCCUCCUCUUUCAAUCAUUUCCCAUACAGUAGCUUUGCACGGCCCCUUCACCCUGCCUGUCAACACUUCAUUAGCGAGCAUCUGUUAGUAAGUCAUUUCAUAUCUCUGCUGUAGAAAAAUGGGGCCUCCUUCCCUCUCUCCAGUCUGCUCAUCAAAUGGGGGAAAUAAGCCAGACCAGCCUCAGCCCCUUUUAUUACAUGUCAGCAUCUCUGCCUUUCUUUUUUUUUGUCUGGGGAAGAGCUUAUACCCCAGGCCAGAAAGGGAUGCAGCAGCAGGGGGGGGGGGGGGGGGGGAAAUGGAAGAUUAAUCAAUUGGGAGAGGAAAAGGAGGGAGCUCUGGGUAUCUCAUCCCUCAAACCACAGGUGUUUCUUUAAUACCUUGCUUUGUUGGAGGUGAUGAGGAAAUGAGCGGGGUGUAUUUUUUUCUCUCUGCUUUUUACUCUUUGUCUUCCCUCCAGGACUCCAGCAAAUUCUCUAGAUUUCUCUCCAUUUGAGACCAAGCCAAUUUCAUCCACACUUUGCAACAUAUGGCGAAGCCCCCCCCCACCCCCAAUAUGCCUGUCGCCGCGCGCACAAAGGCCACUUCCUUAAUAUAUUCUAGCUAUUACAGGAUUCAUCAAAAAUUAAAGCCGCAGUCGAAGGAAGGCUGCAGGGCAACACCAAACUCCUGAAGCGGGAUUCACGCUUCAGAUACAAGAUGGAGAUGAAAAUCUGGUGUGUUUUAUCAUAUUCAUACAGAAGCACACGUCCACAUAUGGUGGGAGGAAGCUCGGUUGCCCUGUUUGUAGCCGACAGGCUGUUAUGUGUGACUCACUUUGUUCAUAUUCAACAUGCCGAGCUGCUGCCACCCGCCCUCCUUUUCUUUCUCAUCUCACUUGAUGAUGAAUUCGAGUAAUAAAGGAGAUACAUUAGCAGAAGAUUGUCUUUUUUUCAUUUAACUGGGAGACAGAGAUAUAUUGAUCAUGUGGUGAGACAUCACAAUCCGUCUUGAAUUUCGACCGGUUAUACAUCAGCUGUGAUGUACAACCCUGGAUGUGGAAAUAUGUAUUCUUCUUCUUUAGCAUAACAUCAGAUAUUAGACCUUUUUAUGACCCUCAUACAGAUUUACUAUGCAAGCUGUUUUCCACCAGGAAUCCCUGGAUUUCAUGAGAAAAGCAUCCUAACCGUGCACCACGCAGAUUUACUGUUGCUUCGCUUCAUAUCCAAUGCUCUCAGAAACCUGGCAUCACGUCCUCCUUUUUGUCAGGGGAUAGCUGUGCUUAUAAAUCCUGCUGACGGAUCUUUGAUACUUAUUCCCCCUGCAACACAGGUGAGUCCCUCAGCAGCAUCUUAUGCAUCCUCUCUGGUGCCCAAUGCAAUUUGCAUUAUAGCACGGUGUCUUUUUAUUCCGGGUUAUAGUAUAAAGACCAGACUAAAAACAGACCAGUUUGAGAGGUAAUCUGGACCACAGAAAAAGAAAGAAGGCGAUUAUGUGGGGAAACGGUGGGGUAUCAUGUGGGAUCUUCAGCGGCAGGGGAGCACCUGCGCACAACUGACCUGCUGUAUGUGUCUGUUAAAUCCCCCCCCCCCCUCUCCACCACCCCCAGGUACCAGCGAAGCGUGUGUUUAUGUGAGUGCAUACGGCGUGAAAGCGCGGUGUUAGAAUCUUGUUGACUGAGUCUGCACACCUGUCUGCAUUUGCAGGACAAGGAGAUCGGUUUGUGUGCACUUGUGACAGAGUGUGUGUGUGUGUGUGUGUGUGUGUGUGUCCAGAGGUUUCCAGACUGGGAGGAAUAGACAUACACAGGUCAAGCCUGAAGGCAGCUAGGGGGAUGUGGGCACCAGGCUGUGACCACCAACAGUUUUUGGAGGGCUUUACUGCAUCGUUCCCUUUCCUUUUCAUCCCUUUCCUCGACAUCGUCCCCCUGUUCGGUGCGAGCGAGGACACAGAUGGUCUCAGUCUAUCUGCCAUGUCUGUCCGGCAGCAGGAACAUUUCCCCGUUAACUGUUCUUGGCUCAACAGGCGGUCCUAUACUUCCUACACUGCAUGCUGGCAGUAAAUAGGUAGUUCAAAAUACUUACAUGACACAUAUUGAACACUCGCGAGUCCGUACGAAAAAUCAACAUUUUGAUUAAGUGCUUAUUAGAUCUCUACAACGGUCAAAGUCAUUGAUGUGAGCAGCUUAUUGGUGUGAACGAAAAAGGCAUGAAGUCUUAGUUGAGAGCCGUCCCGCACGUGUCCGAAUUUCACGGCCUGCCACAGAUCCACGGUGUCAAGAGACAGGCGGCGGCGCCCAGAGCGGCGGCAGACACACACGCACACACACAAGCAGACGGACAAAGAGGGACUUGAUCGUUGUCGAUGUGUGGAAACACAUCGACAAAAAAAACUUUUUUUUUCAAACCAUUAAACCCAAUUAUAUCGUAAGUCACCAUUACCUAAACAGGACAACUUCCGUUUGUCCUCCAAGAGAACUAAGCCGGAUUUAUCUAUGUGUAAAAUCUGCUCUGCUCUCAUCCAAAGCACAUUGUUUUGAACCUUUGCAAGCUCCCGCUUUUCCAUAGCUGGGGGGAGCGGAGGAAACCACAUUUUUGGAUGGAAUCCAUUUUGUCUGUCAGCUAAAGGAGGACAUGUUCCUCACUUAUCAAUGGGAAGGCAUUUGUGAGGGAGACAGUAGCCGUCCUAGAUCUCAAGGCAUCAUGUGUUUAUUUUUGUGUUUGCGUAACUAUAAUAUUUACACACGUGCACGGAAGUCAACUUUUUAUUUAUGUGACAAGAUCUCUGUCCGGCCGCCUUACGUAGAGAAAUACAUCUACUGAACCAUCCUUUGUUUCUGGCUGAACAUAAGGGGAGUUGAUUUAAAUGAGUUCCUAAAUGAUAUAUAAAGCAGUAAAUCUUCAUGCAUGGAGAGCUGCGGAAACCACACAAGGACUGCCAGGUGAAAAUAAAAGGGGGGGGUGGAGGGACAAUGUUAUUUACGGUGACGAUGACACUCUUUUUUCCAGUCCAGGGGAAACGAUGGGCGAGCUCCAAGUACACACAGCAGGUAAUGAGGAGACGUCUGCAGGGAGAACUUUCCAUUCACCAGUUAAUUGUAAAACUGUGACACACUUUUGUACGCGUGUAAAAAAAACACACACACAUUCACAAAGCAGCACCGAACACAACGAUUCACAGCAUUAAAAGCUUGCUUUAUUAUUAGGGAAAUGCGAAUAUUUGUAAUGAGAAAUUCUGGCAACAUCUGAGCCGUAAGAAGCCUUUGCAAUAAACACUCGGCCAACGCGUCACCGGCUACAUGCUGAGCGGCUGCAAAGCGAGGCAGAUAGGUGUCAUAGAUCAUAUUCAUGCCCCACAUCUUGAAAGCCAUAUCAAUAUUCCACGUCCAUCCAAGUGUCUGGCCAUGAGAGAUGAUUGAUGCCUUUCUGCGGCCGUGGUUGGAAACAGAGCCCGGGGAGACGCGGGGGCGGCGUUGAGUGAGCACGCCUGCCUGUACAACACAGAACUCCAUUUACCCACAACACAAGCACAAGACGGAUCACUCCGCCGGCCCCGGCGUUAACCACGGUGUACGCGCACGUGUGUGUCGCCGUUGAUGGAUUCGCCGGGAACACGCAGGUGGGGGAUUCGCCGACGCCUGGGUGAUUCUGUGGACAACAUUUGAAAUGUGGAUUGAUAAUGUAUUCGUUUUGGUCGGGGCUGCAGAUAUUACUGCUCCCUAAUGGCACUUUAGACGAUUGUUAAUGUUUAGUAUUCUGAAGUCAGCCCACCAGAUUAAUUAUUCACAAAAAAAAACAUUACAUACAUAUGAUCCAUUUCAGGGUUCCUCUAUGCAAAAUGGAAAAAGCGAGGCUGUGGAUUUAUAAUUACAAUCAUUUGUUUUUGAUGGUUGCAGCGUGUCAGCACACAAAGUAUACAAUAUUAAUGCAUGGAGGAACAAUUCAAUCAUCGUGUUGGAGGUGGGAUAUUGCAAAAGUAUACAGUCAUUGACUUUAUAUAAUAUAAUAUUAGUGAAGGUAUUACUUAACUAUCCUUCACUACAGAUCUAUUUCAUCAGUCAGAGACUAAAAAACCCGACCAGCUUUCCAGUGGACCUGUAUGCGUGUUUUGAACACAUUUGGAUGCAUCUGUGAGAGUCACAAAUAUAAAACAUUUAUAAAGUGGCGUCAGUGAAGACAUAUGGCAGGUAAUUUACAAUGCAGCAUGCGUAAUACUCAAUUUAUUUUAAAGAGGCAUUACUCUUUUCGCAUUGCACCUGUAAAACUUGUAGCUUUGCCCUAAAAGAAAAGAUAUGUGAUAUGUAUCAUCUGCAUUUUUGUUUUCAUUUAUUUACAUCUUCAUACUGCGAUAUUACAUUGAUAUACAUUAUGUUAUGUUUAAGCUGCCUUUGCUGAGCUUAGAUAUCAGUUCAUCAGUCCUUGAGUUUUAAUUAUUUUGAUGCUUAACUUUCAGGGGUGUUCACCUGAGACUUUCUAUUUGACAUGUUGUACUAUGUACUCAUUAGCAAGUGCCUAUACUAUUUCAAGUGUUGAUUCUUUAUUAUGUUACGCACUUUUUCAGCUUCUCCGGUGCUCAGUGAUCAUGCAUCCCUUUCGGUUUUCAAUCUCCUCCAUCUUUCCUUUCCGCUGGCAGCAUGUCAAUUCUGGAAUUUUCCAUUUUCCUGCGCUGCUUUACAUGCCCUCUAUUUGCCCUCGGCGCCUUUCCCCCCUUCAGAGAUCUCCUGACUGAGUCACCUGCCUUCCCAGCUGGUAUGAGGAGCUAUUGCCGUUUUUCAGCGACUGCACAUUUAGACUAAAAGCCCGUCUGGAACCAAUUUCACCCACGUGUACCUGUUAUCACUGACUCCCACACAAAUACACUGUACGCACAACUUGGAAGGACAUAGAGAGAAGAUAGUGUGUCUGUGUGUGUGUGUGUGUGUGUGUGUGUGUGUGUGUGUGUGUGAAGGGGGGGUUGCGUGCUACCAAAUGAGUUCGAAGACAAAACAAAAAACAAUAGAGAAAAGAGAAAGCUAUGCUUCUAUUACGGAGCCUGAAGCCCUCGUCUCAGCAUACCAACUCAUUCCUUUCACUUAGAUAUUCAACCAAUGUUCUUUGCUGCCUUGUUUAGUUGUGUGCCCGCAAAACAAAGGAGGGCUGGCAGAGUUUCAGCGAGAUGCACAGUUUUUCCUACAGUAUCGUCUCUUUGGUGCGAUGUGUUUUGUUGGAUAGUGUGCAAAUGACAGUUAUAAGUAAAGAGUUACGAGCUUCUACGUGGCAGAUUUAUGUGACCACAACUCCCUCUCCACAUGUUUCCUGUUUCUCCUUAAGUACACCUAAUCGCAAUUAAAAACGGUCCUAUUGGAGAACAGAACUUCUUAAAGACACAUUCACUCUUCAAACAAAGAAGCCAUUUAGAAAAAGGCAUUUACACGUUAUAUAGGGAGAAAACAGCCCCCGGUUAAUGGAGGGGUUGCGUAUCCCGAACCAACACGGUGCAGUUUGUGGAAUAGGGGAAAAAAGGAUGCUACUGCCAAUGUGCCCCUAAGCAAGGCACCCAACCUUUUAUGGCUCGGAAACCCAUCAAUUAGAAAUUUCUUGAUGCAUGUAUUUGAU
ensembl:lncRNA